GAUGAACGCUAGCUACAGGCUUAACACAUGCAAGUCGAGGGGAAACGGCAUUGAGUGCUUGCACUCUUUGGACGUCGACCGGCGCACGGGUGAGUAACGCGUAUCCAACCUUCCCAUUACUGUGGGAUAACCUGCCUAAAGGCAGACUAAUACCGCAUAGUCUUCGAUGACGGCAUCAGAUUUGAAGUAAAGAUUUAUCGGUAAUGGAUGGGGAUGCGUCUGAUUAGCUUGUUGGCGGGGUAACGGCCCACCAAGGCUACGAUCAGUAGGGGUUCUGAGAGGAAGGUCCCCCACAUUGGAACUGGGACAAGGUCCAAACUCCUACGGGAGGCAGCAGUGAGGAAUAUUGGUCAAUGGACGGAAGUCUGAACCAGCCAAGUAGCGUGCAGGAGGACGGCCCUAUGGGUUGUAAACUGCUUUUGUAUGGGGAUAAAGUUAGGGACGUGUCUCUAUUUGCAGGUACCAUACGAAUAAGGACCGGCUAAUUCCGUG
rnacentral:rRNA from 1 species